UCAUCCUGAUCAACCUGAUGUUGUUGUCUUCAGUCAUGGUUUGAAUUCAGCCACAUGUUCUGGAACAGGACGAAAAUUAAAUGAAAACAAAAUAAUCAUAUUUCACAGGAGAUUACAAGUCACAGUCAGGGGACAGAGUUAGCAAAAUGGCCGCCCCACCACCGCUGUACAAGUUGUUUCCUCUCGGGCCCUCAGCAGCUCAGACCAGCCUGGAUGCUUUGGUGUCAGCUAUGUGGCGUAGACUCUUCCUUGGACAGGACUUUGGGCAAAACCACUGGCUGAAUAAAAUCUUUGCCAAGAUGUCCGAAUGGCCAGAACUGGCAACCCUGCAGCUCUGUCCGUACUAUUUUGACCAGGUCACUUACAGGCUUCCCACCAGAGACCAAGUGAAACACAAAUCGGAUGCUAUAAUGAGUGAUCUUCCCCCCACUUGUGGCCUGAAGGGAGAGCUACAACCUGAGGCUGCAUUGCUUCGACUCAUGGACAGACGACGGACAGGAGAGGCAGAGGGCCACUGA
rnacentral:lncRNA from 1 species